UUUCCUACGGGGGGCAGCAGUGGGGAAUAUUGCACAAUGGGGGGAACCCUGAUGCAGCGACGCCGCGUGAGCGAAGAGGUAUUUCGGUAUGUAAAGCUCUAUCAGCAGGGAAGAAAAUGACGGUACCUGACUAAGAAGCCCCGGCUAACUACGUGCCAGCAGCCGCGGUAAUACGUAGGGGGCAAGCGUUAUCCGGAUUUACUGGGUGUAAAGGGGGCGCAGACGGCCAUGGCAAGCCCGGUGUGAAAGGCAGGGGCAUCACCCCUGGACUGCACUGGGAACUGUCAGGCUGGAGUGCCGGAGGG
rnacentral:rRNA from 1 species